rnacentral:lncRNA from 1 species
AUGUUUUGGAUUCUGUAUCCUAUGCUGAACUUGUUAGAUGCCUUUCUUAUAAUGAAAAGAUUCAAGAGGCUGCUGAAGUUUAUUGUUAUAUGUCAGGAAAGCAAGUAGCUUUGCAGUCAACCUCUUUUGAUUUGUUCAUUAAGGGGCUUUGUGCAAUAAGAGAAGUCGAGAGUGCAAUCAGGUUUCUAUCUCUUGCUCAUUGUUCUGGUACAUCGUACUCGUCUGUAGCUUACUACAGCAUAAUGCGAGUUUUAUCCAAGUUAGAAAAGGCAGAUGACCUUUUAGUGGUAUUAUCACGAAUGAUUGUAGAUGGUUGUCCUGUUGAGGAAGAAACUUAUUUUAUCCUCAUAGAAAGUAUGAGUCUAGCUGAUAAUCCAGACCAUUGUGCUCGGUUUUUCAAUGUGAUGCUCAGCAAGGGUUUAUUACCCAACUCCGAAACACUAACUACUGCACUGUCUUGUUUAGACAAGCAUUCUCAAAUGCACAUGAUUUUGAGUGCUAUGGAUCAGCUUAUCCCUUGUUCUAAUAUUCUUGGUUCCAGUACCUAUAACAUGCUCAUCAGGGGCCUUUUGAAAGAAGGAUAUAGGAGUGCAGCUGGUCGCUUGCUAGAUGUAAUGUUGGGGAAGGGUUGGAUUCCUAGUACUGAAACUCAUCAAUUACUGGUUGGUUCUGUUGUAAAAGAGGAAUCAGAAGUAAGAGCAUAUAUGAGCGAAAAUUUUGGUCCGCAGGAUGAGGUUAGCAGCAUACUUGAAAAUGCAUUGGCUCAAACAUAACCUGAUUCCAUAUAUCAACACUAUCAUUGGCCGUUGUUGAAUGUCUCCAUUAAGUGCGAUUGUGAAAGCCUCUGUAAGACUUGUAGAUUUCAUCUCAGACUUCAGUGCUAUAAAAGGUAUGCUAUGUUCACACAGCACAUAACUUUGCUUCACGUGGCAUGGGUACUUAACAAAUUGUUCUUCUGACAGUCUUACAUGCACUUAAUAUGUUGGUACAUACUCCACCAAAUUUUAAAAAAUUUUUUUUUUUUGUGUUUUUAAUUUCUUUAGUGGUAGGGCUGGUGUCGGUGUCAGGUCCUGAUUAUGACACUUCAGUGGAUACUGUCAAGUUGUUUUUCGGAUGCUUCUUUGUUGUAUACGUUCUUUGCGGGGAUGUUUCUCAUCAACUCAUGCUCUAUUACAAAUGUACUGAAUUUUGAAGGAAGUUGCUAGAUGGGAAAGUUGUAGGAGCUCUUUGGAAAGAGAUUCUUUUGGAAAGUCAUCUGUACUUGGAACGUCUGGAAUUACUGUUGUACAAGGCAUAAAGGCUUUUGGUUCAUUCGUCCCGGAUAAGAUAAUUAUGUCGUGGAAACUGAUAAUGAUAGGUAUGCUUGCUGAUAGUUUACGUGAAAUUAAUUAAGAGCUACAAGCUUGCGAUGUGGCCUUUUACAUCAUGCACUGGAGGUUAAGGUAAAAGGGACUUGAAUGAAGACGGUUUAGAUAAUACUUACUUUUUUGGGAGGAAUUAGAAGGUACAAUGAAGUAAGGGGACACUUUUGAGCAGCCAAAAGGAUGAGCCAGUUAUCACCUGAACUCCUAAACCUGGGAGUUAAAUUAAAGGUAAAAAAUCUACAUACAACAGAAUUUACAGAACGAAUGACAGGCAGCUGACAGCAGAUUGUUCAAGGCAUAUGCAAUUUGCAGAGUAUGAAAGAUACGGCAACUGGAUUGGAUCAAUGAAAAUUUUGUGGUAUGCUGGUUAUAUCUUGUAUGUAUAGUAUAAUUGAGCUAUAUUGAAGCAUGUUUAAAGCAGGUCCAACAUUGUUAUUAUGUUGAUCCUUCUUCUAGAUGCAUGUGUACACUCAAGUGGGAAAAAAUUGUGCGAGCUUCUGAUGGCAACCUGCUUCACUUGUAUCUAUUGUAAUGACAUAAAUCAUGGCAUAGUUGUCAAUGACUAGCUCUUGUGAUGUCUGUGAGAAGGUUUAAUGUUUUUGAAUCUUCAGACUAGAAUUAUUAUUAUUAUUAUUAUUAUUUUUGGCUGCCUCUGUGGAGUAGUUGGGAAUUUUCGUGAUUGUUGUACGUGGAAUUUCCACGUAUCAUGUUCACUUUUCUUGUGAAAGGGCAAAAUCUGAACCGUGUAGCGUGUCUGCAUUGAGGUUAAGGCUUGCUCUUUGGGACGGAUAAAUGCAGCUAGUUUGGUUUAGAUUCUGGAUUAAUGACUUAAACAGAAGUAGUCUGGUGGACAUGGUCCUGUGCUUAUCAUUCUUCUCCUAGUCUCUGGGAUUUCAUGCUGUGUAAUUUGUAUCUUCUGGCUUCAGCUGGGAUUUUGGAUCAUUCUUGCCUAGUCUUUGUGGUGGUGUACUUUGUUUCUUUAGCUGGGAUUAUGAUGACAACAUAACCUCGUAAUGCGAGCUCUUUUAUGCAGGCGGGCACUUGUUUGCUGUAAUUGCUAUUGGAUUCUUCAGUCAUGCACAUGCACUUAGGUAUCCAAAACAUGAUCUUGUGUAGUAACAUGGGGCAUGCGGUAGAUUAAGUCUUUCUGCAUGAUUGAGCACAUUUACUAAGGUAAAGCUUAAAGGCCAGUUUAAGUAAUCGCAGCAGUUUUCUCUGGCAAAUUGCCAUCUGCUAGGUCGUAGGUACACAACAUUCAAAAUUAUUUUUUUCUCCAGUUUCUGCUAAUUUCUUGCAGCUAACGAGAGCCGUCCUAGUUAUUCUUUUCUUGGUUUCGUCUCCAAAACCACACGGGGCCAUGCUUUUUCUCUCCCCAACCUGGUAAUGAUCCAUUGCAAUGUUAAAUUCACAUCUGAAAAUGUACUAGCUCGAUUAUCAUGAACGACUGUCUUGUCUAGAUGAUGCUCUUUUCUGCGCGUCCAAUUCGAAGGAAGGAAGGAAGAUUCAUGCGACAGCCAACGGGCAUUGUCUGUGGUUGUUGGACGUGUUGCACGUUUGACGCGAGGUUGGUUUACUUUCCGCGAAUACUGCUGCCAUUGAAGAUCAGUCGGCAGUCUGACUUUGAUUUUUUUUUUUUUUUUUUACUAACGACUGCUAAUCCUCCCAUGGAGGGAAAACCAUCCAACUAUACUAAUUGUUGUUUGUGACCCAAUCUCGUGUGUGUCAAUUUCUUGAUUGUCAAAAGGGAUGGAACAUAAAGACUAGGACUCAAUUCCUGUUUAACACCCCCUAUGGCUUGACAGGAGGAGGGAAAAAAGCAGUGGAGGAGGCAGGCAUACAUGGUACAGGACUAAUGACUUGUCCACUGACUUUGGGUAUUGACUCUCAAGUCUCACCCAUUGGAGGCAAGAAAGCAGCAUGAGUUGCUUGGUCCAUCAAAUUGCCUGGUGGGGUGGAAAGUGGAAAGUGGGAAGUGGGAUUUGUGUGAGUCCUACUACUUAAUAGUGCAUAAUCAUUUUGUGCAUUGUAUGGCUAUAUCCCAUUACCUAGUUGCACAAAUUGAGAUGGUAUGCAAGCCAAGCCAACUGGUGUGUCACUUAAAUGAUACCAGAUUUGGUUAUUGAAUAAAAUUUUCAUAUUGGGUUUUGAACUUUUGAUACAAAUAAAAUUCCAAAUUCACGUAUAAAUGAGUUAAGCUACUUGAGUUUGAAUUAAAGUUGGCUUGAUAAAAUAAAAAUCGGUUGGAGUUCAACGAGAAGGAUGCUAAGGUGCUCGGCUCCGGAGUAGAAGUCCAAUUCUUGAGACAGCUUACAAUUUUAUUUUAUUUUUUAAAAAAAAGAAGAGAAGAGAGAGAGAGAGAGAGAGAGAGAGAGAGAGAGAGAGAGAGAAAUUGUUCUGGAGGAAGAGAGUAUAAAGAGACUGUAUAAGGAACUAACAGAUAUAUAGACUCAAUAAAUCAAAUGAGUGUUCUAGUAUCUCUUUUAAAUUUUUUUCAUUGUAGGUGAGAUUCGAACCCCUGACUUGCAGUUCAAAGAGAGAUUUAUUCACUUUUUUAUGGCCACUGAUGAUUUACAUCACACUUAAUUUCUCUUUUUAUGAAAAAAUUGGUUGGACAUAUAUCUACUUAUCUAAGACUAAGAGCUGCUUCUAGCAUUGAACAUCAAAGACGAAAUUUUUCAUCUAUGAUUGAACACUCCAAAUCAUUAAAAUUUGAUAGGGUAGGAGAAUCUUGCCUCCCACCAAUUGAUACAUUAAGGUACUAUGGUUAAAAAAUUUAGACGGGUGUAUAAUGUAUCCAUCUGGUCCAAUAUAAAUUAUAUAAUUAUCGUUUUGAAAAAAAAAAAAAAGAACACCCAAUAGAAAGAGAAAGAGAAAAAGAAAAAGAAAAAUGAAAAAAUGUAAGGAGGAGAAGAAAACAAAUUACUCUUUUUAACUUUUUGUUAGCGACUGACUAAUGAACUGCCCAUCCAUCCAAAUGUUCUUGCACAAACGUCACCUAAGCAUAAGCUUUUUUUUUUUUUUUGGGAGAAAAACCUGAGCCCUAAUUCGAAACUUGUACUAUAUGCUAAAAAAGUUGCACUAAAAAUGUUAAAAUGCCGGUUGAGAAAUUAAUGUCUCGAGAAACAGGAGAGCAAUGGCAAUCACGGAAUCCCAGUGUCCCAUUCCUUAUUUGGUGUUAAAUUACUUCCUGAAUCAAUUUUUAGUUUUUACUUCUUCCUCUUCCACAGGGAGCGAUUCCCAGGCAAAUCAUUAAAAAGCGAAAAUCCCAGGUUAGAGUUUGAUCAUUCCCGCUGUUUACUACUUUUCUUUGCUGCAAACCUUUCAUAUGGAACUUCAAUGGCUGUAAAGCUUGCAUCUUUAGCAUUUUUAAAGAGAAUUCCCAAAAGGGUCAAUUUAAAUGCCUCUUUUUCUUCACUUUCAUGUGCAAAUGUUGUUCAUAUCAAUUCAGAAACUGAUCAUACUCCGUCAAAAUCUGCUGAUUUUGAGUCAAAGAUCCAAUUUUUAAAGAAUAAGCUUCAUCCAGAUAUCUUGGUCCAUGUCUUGGAUUCCACAACUGAUGUAAAUUCUUCGUUGAAAUUGUUCAAAUGGGCUUCACUUCAGAAAACGUUUAAGCAUAAUGUGGAUACUUAUUAUUUGAUGAUUUUGAAGUUGGGUUUGGCUGGAAAUAUUGAGGAAAUGGAGGGAUUUUGUAAUGAGAUGUUAAAGGAGAAAUGUCCUGGUUUUGAUGAAGCUUUCUUGGGAUUGAUUGAAUGUUUUGUUAGAAAUGAUAGGCUUGACGAGGCUUUGAGGGUUCUUUCUUGUAUGAAUUCAAGAAGUUUUAAGCCUUCAGUAAGUGUUUUUAAUAUAGUAAUGGGUGCACUUUUGGUGGCAAAGAGGGAUUUCAAGGAUGUAUUAUUUGUGUAUAAAGAAAUGGUGAAAGUAGGAAUUGUUCCCAACGUGGAGACUUUGAAUUACUUGUUGGAAGCGCUGUUAGAGGAUGAUAGGGUGGGUACAGCUUUGGAACAAUAUAGAAGGAUGAAUAAGAAAGGGUGUAGUCCUAAUAGUAGGACCUUCGAGGUUCUCAUUAGUGGACUUAUUGCCAGGGAAAGGAUCGAUGAAUCUUUGCUUCUUUUAGAUGAAAUUUUUGAACUUAGGUGUGAGGUGGAUUUGAGCUUUUACACUCGGAUAGUACCGCUGCUUUGCCAGAUUAAUAAAUGUGAGGCAGGGAUGAUGUUACUUGUGAAGAUGAAAGCUUCAAAAAUUUCUCCAGAUUCUUCAACUUAUGGAGCUAUGAUAAUAUGUUUAUGCCAGAAUCUUUAUGUGGAUGAAGCUGUCAACCUUUUUGAAGAGAUGGUGGGCAGCGGAAUAACUCCAGAGGAUGAUCUCUAUGUGGAUAUUGUGAAGGGAUUUUGUACAUUAUGUAAAUUUAGUGAAGCAAAGAAGUUUUUAGUAGAUAAUGAUGUUGAUAUAACUUGUCCUUACAAUGCACUUCUUGGAGCUUAUUGCAGUUAUGGUAAUCUUGCGGCAGCAAAAGAUCUGUUUGAUGAUAUGUUUGAGAGGAGUUUAACUGAUAGCUUGUCUUGGAAUUUCUAUAUUCGGUGCCUAUGUGAGAUUGGCGAUAUCAAGAAAGCCUUGGAAGUUCUUUGUAGAAUGAUUGUUUUUUCAUUUCUUCCUGACUCUAUCACUUACUCCGCUCUUAUCAUUGGCAGAUGCAAGCAGGAUGAACUUGAUGAUGCUAUACUGUUGUUCAAUCAGGUCCAGCAGAAGUGUGAUGUUUUGGAUUCUGUAUCCUAUGCUGAACUUGUUAGAUGCCUUUCUUAUAAUGAAAAGAUUCAAGAGGCUGCUGAAGUUUAUUGUUAUAUGUCAGGAAAGCAAGUAGCUUUGCAGUCAACCUCUUUUGAUUUGUUCAUUAAGGGGCUUUGUGCAAUAAGAGAAGUCGAGAGUGCAAUCAGGUUUCUAUCUCUUGCUCAUUGUUCUGGUACAUCGUACUCGUCUGUAGCUUACUACAGCAUAAUGCGAGUUUUAUCCAAGUUAGAAAAGGCAGAUGACCUUUUAGUGGUAUUAUCACGAAUGAUUGUAGAUGGUUGUCCUGUUGAGGAAGAAACUUAUUUUAUCCUCAUAGAAAGUAUGAGUCUAGCUGAUAAUCCAGACCAUUGUGCUCGGUUUUUCAAUGUGAUGCUCAGCAAGGGUUUAUUACCCAACUCCGAAACACUAACUACUGCACUGUCUUGUUUAGACAAGCAUUCUCAAAUACACAUGAUUUUGAGUGCUAUGGAUCAGCUUAUCCCUUGUUCUAAUAUUCUUGGUUCCAGUACCUAUAACAUGCUCAUCAGGGGCCUUUUGAAAGAAGGAUAUAGGAGUGCAGCUGGUCGCUUGCUAGAUGUAAUGUUGGGGAAGGGUUGGAUUCCUAGUACUGAAACUCAUCAAUUACUGGUUGGUUCUGUUGUAAAAGAGGAAUCAGAAGUAAGAGCAUAUAUGAGCGAAAAUUUUGGUCCGCAGGAUGAGGUUAGCAGCAUACUUGAAAAUGCAUUGGCUCAAACAUAACCUGAUUCCAUAUAUCAACACUAUCAUUGGCCGUUGUUGAAUGUCUCCAUUAAGUGCGAUUGUGAAAGCCUCUGUAAGACUUGUAGAUUUCAUCUCAGACUUCAGUGCUAUAAAAGGUAUGCUAUGUUCACACAGCACAUAACUUUGCUUCACGUGGCAUGGGUACUUAACAAAUUGUUCUUCUGACAGUCUUACAUGCACUUAAUAUGUUGGUACAUACUCCACCAAAUUUUAAAAAAUUUUUUUUUUUUGUGUUUUUAAUUUCUUUAGUGGUAGGGCUGGUGUCGGUGUCAGGUCCUGAUUAUGACACUUCAGUGGAUACUGUCAAGUUGUUUUUCGGAUGCUUCUUUGUUGUAUACGUUCUUUGCGGGGAUGUUUCUCAUCAACUCAUGCUCUAUUACAAAUGUACUGAAUUUUGAAGGAAGUUGCUAGAUGGGAAAGUUGUAGGAGCUCUUUGGAAAGAGAUUCUUUUGGAAAGUCAUCUGUACUUGGAACGUCUGGAAUUACUGUUGUACAAGGCAUAAAGGCUUUUGGUUCAUUCGUCCCGGAUAAGAUAAUUAUGUCGUGGAAACUGAUAAUGAUAGGUAUGCUUGCUGAUAGUUUACGUGAAAUUAAUUAAGAGCUACAAGCUUGCGAUGUGGCCUUUUACAUCAUGCACUGGAGGUUAAGGUAAAAGGGACUUGAAUGAAGACGGUUUAGAUAAUACUUACUUUUUUGGGAGGAAUUAGAAGGUACAAUGAAGUAAGGGGACACUUUUGAGCAGCCAAAAGGAUGAGCCAGUUAUCACCUGAACUCCUAAACCUGGGAGUUAAAUUAAAGGUAAAAAAUCUACAUACAACAGAAUUUACAGAACGAAUGACAGGCAGCUGACAGCAGAUUGUUCAAGGCAUAUGCAAUUUGCAGAGUAUGAAAGAUACGGCAACUGGAUUGGAUCAAUGAAAAUUUUGUGGUAUGCUGGUUAUAUCUUGUAUGUAUAGUAUAAUUGAGCUAUAUUGAAGCAUGUUUAAAGCAGGUCCAACAUUGUUAUUAUGUUGAUCCUUCUUCUAGAUGCAUGUGUACACUCAAGUGGGAAAAAAUUGUGCGAGCUUCUGAUGGCAACCUGCUUCACUUGUAUCUAUUGUAAUGACAUAAAUCAUGGCAUAGUUGUCAAUGACUAGCUCUUGUGAUGUCUGUGAGAAGGUUUAAUGUUUUUGAAUCUUCAGACUAGAAUUAUUAUUAUUAUUAUUAUUAUUUUUGGCUGCCUCUGUGGAGUAGUUGGGAAUUUUCGUGAUUGUUGUACGUGGAAUUUCCACGUAUCAUGUUCACUUUUCUUGUGAAAGGGCAAAAUCUGAACCGUGUAGCGUGUCUGCAUUGAGGUUAAGGCUUGCUCUUUGGGACGGAUAAAUGCAGCUAGUUUGGUUUAGAUUCUGGAUUAAUGACUUAAACAGAAGUAGUCUGGUGGACAUGGUCCUGUGCUUAUCAUUCUUCUCCUAGUCUCUGGGAUUUCAUGCUGUGUAAUUUGUAUCUUCUGGCUUCAGCUGGGAUUUUGGAUCAUUCUUGCCUAGUCUUUGUGGUGGUGUACUUUGUUUCUUUAGCUGGGAUUAUGAUGACAACAUAACCUCGUAAUGCGAGCUCUUUUAUGCAGGCGGGCACUUGUUUGCUGUAAUUGCUAUUGGAUUCUUCAGUCAUGCACAUGCACUUAGGUAUCCAAAACAUGAUCUUGUGUAGUAACAUGGGGCAUGCGGUAGAUUAAGUCUUUCUGCAUGAUUGAGCACAUUUACUAAGGUAAAGCUUAAAGGCCAGUUUAAGUAAUCGCAGCAGUUUUCUCUGGCAAAUUGCCAUCUGCUAGGUCGUAGGUACACAACAUUCAAAAUUAUUUUUUUCUCCAGUUUCUGCUAAUUUCUUGCAGCUAACGAGAGCCGUCCUAGUUAUUCUUUUCUUGGUUUCGUCUCCAAAACCACACGGGGCCAUGCUUUUUCUCUCCCCAACCUGGUAAUGAUCCAUUGCAAUGUUAAAUUCACAUCUGAAAAUGUACUAGCUCGAUUAUCAUGAACGACUGUCUUGUCUAGAUGAUGCUCUUUUCUGCGCGUCCAAUUCGAAGGAAGGAAGGAAGAUUCAUGCGACAGCCAACGGGCAUUGUCUGUGGUUGUUGGACGUGUUGCACGUUUGACGCGAGGUUGGUUUACUUUCCGCGAAUACUGCUGCCAUUGAAGAUCAGUCGGCAGUCUGACUUUGAUUUUUUUUUUUUUUUUUUACUAACGACUGCUAAUCCUCCCAUGGAGGGAAAACCAUCCAACUAUACUAAUUGUUGUUUGUGACCCAAUCUCGUGUGUGUCAAUUUCUUGAUUGUCAAAAGGGAUGGAACAUAAAGACUAGGACUCAAUUCCUGUUUAACACCCCCUAUGGCUUGACAGGAGGAGGGAAAAAAGCAGUGGAGGAGGCAGGCAUACAUGGUACAGGACUAAUGACUUGUCCACUGACUUUGGGUAUUGACUCUCAAGUCUCACCCAUUGGAGGCAAGAAAGCAGCAUGAGUUGCUUGGUCCAUCAAAUUGCCUGGUGGGGUGGAAAGUGGAAAGUGGGAAGUGGGAUUUGUGUGAGUCCUACUACUUAAUAGUGCAUAAUCAUUUUGUGCAUUGUAUGGCUAUAUCCCAUUACCUAGUUGCACAAAUUGAGAUGGUAUGCAAGCCAAGCCAACUGGUGUGUCACUUAAAUGAUACCAGAUUUGGUUAUUGAAUAAAAUUUUCAUAUUGGGUUUUGAACUUUUGAUACAAAUAAAAUUCCAAAUUCACGUAUAAAUGAGUUAAGCUACUUGAGUUUGAAUUAAAGUUGGCUUGAUAAAAUAAAAAUCGGUUGGAGUUCAACGAGAAGGAUGCUAAGGUGCUCGGCUCCGGAGUAGAAGUCCAAUUCUUGAGACAGCUUACAAUUUUAUUUUUUUUUUUUAAAAAAAAGAAGAGAAGAGAGAGAGAGAGAGAGAGAGAGAGAGAGAGAGAGAGAGAGAAAUUGUUCUGGAGGAAGAGAGUAUAAAGAGACUGUAUAAGGAACUAACAGAUAUAUAGACUCAAUAAAUCAAAUGAGUGUUCUAGUAUCUCUUUUAAAUUUUUUUCAUUGUAGGUGAGAUUCGAACCCCUGACUUGCAGUUCAAAGAGAGAUUUAUUCACUUUUUUAUGGCCACUGAUGAUUUACAUCACACUUAAUUUCUCUUUUUAUGAAAAAAUUGGUUGGACAUAUAUCUACUUAUCUAAGACUAAGAGCUGCUUCUAGCAUUGAACAUCAAAGACGAAAUUUUUCAUCUAUGAUUGAACACUCCAAAUCAUUAAAAUUUGAUAGGGUAGGAGAAUCUUGCCUCCCACCAAUUGAUACAUUAAGGUACUAUGGUUAAAAAAUUUAGACGGGUGUAUAAUGUAUCCAUCUGGUCCAAUAUAAAUUAUAUAAUUAUCGUUUUGAAAAAAAAAAAAAAGAACACCCAAUAGAAAGAGAAAGAGAAAAAGAAAAAGAAAAAUGAAAAAAUGUAAGGAGGAGAAGAAAACAAAUUACUCUUUUUAACUUUUUGUUAGCGACUGACUAAUGAACUGCCCAUCCAUCCAAAUGUUCUUGCACAAACGUCACCUAAGCAUAAGCUUUUUUUUUUUUUUUGGGAGAAAAACCUGAGCCCUAAUUCGAAACUUGUACUAUAUGCUAAAAAAGUUGCACUAAAAAUGUUAAAAUGCCGGUUGAGAAAUUAAUGUCUCGAGAAACAGGAGAGCAAUGGCAAUCACGGAAUCCCAGUGUCCCAUUCCUUAUUUGGUGUUAAAUUACUUCCUGAAUCAAUUUUUAGUUUUUACUUCUUCCUCUUCCACAGGGAGCGAUUCCCAGGCAAAUCAUUAAAAAGCGAAAAUCCCAGGUUAGAGUUUGAUCAUUCCCGCUGUUUACUACUUUUCUUUGCUGCAAACCUUUCAUAUGGAACUUCAAUGGCUGUAAAGCUUGCAUCUUUAGCAUUUUUAAAGAGAAUUCCCAAAAGGGUCAAUUUAAAUGCCUCUUUUUCUUCACUUUCAUGUGCAAAUGUUGUUCAUAUCAAUUCAGAAACUGAUCAUACUCCGUCAAAAUCUGCUGAUUUUGAGUCAAAGAUCCAAUUUUUAAAGAAUAAGCUUCAUCCAGAUAUCUUGGUCCAUGUCUUGGAUUCCACAACUGAUGUAAAUUCUUCGUUGAAAUUGUUCAAAUGGGCUUCACUUCAGAAAACGUUUAAGCAUAAUGUGGAUACUUAUUAUUUGAUGAUUUUGAAGUUGGGUUUGGCUGGAAAUAUUGAGGAAAUGGAGGGAUUUUGUAAUGAGAUGUUAAAGGAGAAAUGUCCUGGUUUUGAUGAAGCUUUCUUGGGAUUGAUUGAAUGUUUUGUUAGAAAUGAUAGGCUUGACGAGGCUUUGAGGGUUCUUUCUUGUAUGAAUUCAAGAAGUUUUAAGCCUUCAGUAAGUGUUUUUAAUAUAGUAAUGGGUGCACUUUUGGUGGCAAAGAGGGAUUUCAAGGAUGUAUUAUUUGUGUAUAAAGAAAUGGUGAAAGUAGGAAUUGUUCCCAACGUGGAGACUUUGAAUUACUUGUUGGAAGCGCUGUUAGAGGAUGAUAGGGUGGGUACAGCUUUGGAACAAUAUAGAAGGAUGAAUAAGAAAGGGUGUAGUCCUAAUAGUAGGACCUUCGAGGUUCUCAUUAGUGGACUUAUUGCCAGGGAAAGGAUCGAUGAAUCUUUGCUUCUUUUAGAUGAAAUUUUUGAACUUAGGUGUGAGGUGGAUUUGAGCUUUUACACUCGGAUAGUACCGCUGCUUUGCCAGAUUAAUAAAUGUGAGGCAGGGAUGAUGUUACUUGUGAAGAUGAAAGCUUCAAAAAUUUCUCCAGAUUCUUCAACUUAUGGAGCUAUGAUAAUAUGUUUAUGCCAGAAUCUUUAUGUGGAUGAAGCUGUCAACCUUUUUGAAGAGAUGGUGGGCAGCGGAAUAACUCCAGAGGAUGAUCUCUAUGUGGAUAUUGUGAAGGGAUUUUGUACAUUAUGUAAAUUUAGUGAAGCAAAGAAGUUUUUAGUAGAUAAUGAUGUUGAUAUAACUUGUCCUUACAAUGCACUUCUUGGAGCUUAUUGCAGUUAUGGUAAUCUUGCGGCAGCAAAAGAUCUGUUUGAUGAUAUGUUUGAGAGGAGUUUAACUGAUAGCUUGUCUUGGAAUUUCUAUAUUCGGUGCCUAUGUGAGAUUGGCGAUAUCAAGAAAGCCUUGGAAGUUCUUUGUAGAAUGAUUGUUUUUUCAUUUCUUCCUGACUCUAUCACUUACUCCGCUCUUAUCAUUGGCAGAUGCAAGCAGGAUGAACUUGAUGAUGCUAUACUGUUGUUCAAUCAGGUCCAGCAGAAGUGUGAUGUUUUGGAUUCUGUAUCCUAUGCUGAACUUGUUAGAUGCCUUUCUUAUAAUGAAAAGAUUCAAGAGGCUGCUGAAGUUUAUUGUUAUAUGUCAGGAAAGCAAGUAGCUUUGCAGUCAACCUCUUUUGAUUUGUUCAUUAAGGGGCUUUGUGCAAUAAGAGAAGUCGAGAGUGCAAUCAGGUUUCUAUCUCUUGCUCAUUGUUCUGGUACAUCGUACUCGUCUGUAGCUUACUACAGCAUAAUGCGAGUUUUAUCCAAGUUAGAAAAGGCAGAUGACCUUUUAGUGGUAUUAUCACGAAUGAUUGUAGAUGGUUGUCCUGUUGAGGAAGAAACUUAUUUUAUCCUCAUAGAAAGUAUGAGUCUAGCUGAUAAUCCAGACCAUUGUGCUCGGUUUUUCAAUGUGAUGCUCAGCAAGGGUUUAUUACCCAACUCCGAAACACUAACUACUGCACUGUCUUGUUUAGACAA